UGAGGUUAUAUACUUUUUGUGUUUUAAAACUAUUUUCAUUCAUUUUGAAUUUGUGUUUGUUUUAUAUACCAUAUAUAUAUAUAUAUAUAUGAUAAAUUGAUUAUUUGACUCUGGAGGAAUCUAUAUAUAGUGAAUACCAGGACCUCCCCUUUGGUUUUUUAUUUUUUCAUUAGUUAGCAACAGAUUGUUUGUUAUAUUGUUAUUGUGAAAAUUGUAGAAAUGGCGGAAGUCGAUUUUAAUGAGAAGCUAGUAGAAUUUAAUGAAGAUUGGUUAAAAGAUGUAGGAUCUUCCAUUGAGAAAGAUCCAAGUAAUAAACAUUUUUAUCGUUGUAAAAUUUGUGACAAGUCAUAUAAAGUGGUAAAUUUAUCUACAAUCAAAAAACACCUAAAAACUAAAGCUCACCAAAACAUGGCAUGUGGAAUUUCUGCACCUAAAAAACGCGAAUCAAAAAGAAGCCAAGAGUUCAAAUUUCAGUGGAUUGAGGAACCUUUAUUUAAACCAUUUCUACAAGAAGAUCCAGACGACGUUCAUAUGUUCAGAUGUAAAAUAUGUAAAAUGUCAUUUUCAUGUCUUGCGGGUAGAAUGAAUAUUGAACGACAUCGACUUCGAUAUCAUGCUGAAGAAAUCAUCAACGUUCCCUCAGAGGACACUAGUUUUGUAUUACCCGAAGACACUCCCGAAAUUCGUAGAAAGUGUGCAGAAGCAAACUAUGCUAAGUUGGUUGCCGAGACGGGUGUUUCGCAUAGAACAGCAGCAAAAUUUUUAAAAUUCUUUCAAUUGAUUGGAAAGGAUCGUGCCACAUUGCAAGAUAUGCGUAUGAGUCGGAUAAAAUUACAAAAUGUAAAAUCAAAUGUUCCAUGACCUUAGUUAAUAUCAACACAUCAGUAUUACACUUUUCCGUAAGUACGCAUAUCUUGUCAUGUGGCAAGAUUCAUGUCAACUAUGUAACUAUAUCUAUGUUCUCUAUGUGACACCUGGUUCUGCAACCAAUUUAUUGCUAAAUUUGCCACACACAUUUGGGGAGAAUUCUCGUGUAUAACAAAAUUGGUCCACAAAACAAAAUGUCUGCGCAAGGAAUUGGUUAAUUCAUCACGGACAGUUUUUUGAGUGUGUCUACAAUUUUUCGAUACCAUUUGUUGUUGAUUUUGGUCGAUUCAAUACUAGUAGCGCCAUUUAUGUGUCAGCCUACAAACUUUUCAGCUCACCUGUUAUGUUGAAGUCGAUAUCGUUCAAAAUUUAUUUUACAUACAUUAUACAUAAAAAACAUUCCCGUAUUUUACAUUUAAAUAUGUGAAUAUUGACCACUUUAAUUUGAACUUUGACGUUUAUUGUUUGUGUGUUUAUCAAGAAUUCCACAUGCAAUUCCUUCGUAUGUGAUUUUGGUGACCACUUUCUAUAACUUGCACAAACUAUGAAAAAAAUAUUUAUUUUGGAUCUUUCUGAAUGGAAAAUUGAACCGAUCAUUUAGUGUUUUUAUAAAUAUUGUUAGAUAAUUAACUGAAAUUGAUUAAUCUACUUCUUUAAAAGUACGCUUCCAAAUAUUCUAAUUCUGCAGUAUCAAUUGACAGGGCCUAGUAGGUAGUUUUCAAAGACAUUUUUUAAAUAUAAAUAAUUGUUUUGUCUUAUGGGAAGUGUUACGAUAAUCACAUAUCACAACCGUACCAUUAAUGGUAGAAUCGUCAAACCUGAGCCAUUUGUUUGACAGCAGUAUUCGAAGAAAUGAGGAAAACGGACCACCGAGUCACAGAAAUGACUUUUUGAACACCAUGGACUAUCCACCGUGUAGCCUUGAUUUAUCUUCCAAUAAUUUGCUUUUAAAUGCUUGUUUUGGAGUGGCAAAAUGAUAUGAAAAAAUAUGUUGAUCUUCGUGAAGGAACUUUUGAAAAACAAGAAUUAUCUCAAAACUGAUCCAGCUUAUAAGAGUUUAUGUAUCUUCUGUCGGUCUUCGUUACCACAAUUGUCAAAUUGUCAAAUUGUCAAAUUCUUAUGUUGUUUGAUGUAUUUUGCAAUAUUUAGUUUAUACAUUUAAUUUUGCAUUUGAGAUGCUAGUUAGCUAUAAGAUUUAAUCGUUAAAUUAUAAAUCAUGUUAAUAUUUAAUUAAUAUUGUUAAUAAUAAACUAUUUUGUAUAA